GUGCCCUUUUAAGAUUGAUUCAGUGCUUUAAGUGGCUAAUAUAAAAAUGUAGAAGGGUAAAUUAAUUCUCCAUAAAACCCAGAGAGGAGAUUGUAAAACUUCAUUUUGGAUCCUGUCUGGAGUCACAGCU
rnacentral:snoRNA from 15 species